rnacentral:rRNA from 1 species
CAGGUCAAGACAUGGGCGUGAUUGACAGGCUAAUGACUUUUCUCGAUUCCAUGGAUGGUGGUGCAUGGUCGCACUUAGUUGGUGCAGUGAUUUGUCAGGUUUAUUCCGGUAACGAACGAGACCUCGGCCUUGUAAAUAGCUAUGCUGCUUACAGGGACAUUGGCGGCUACGCCCAAGGAAGCUCGAGGCAAUUGCAGAUCUGGAAUGCCCUUAGAUGUCCUGGGUCGCACGCGUGCUACAAUGACGCCACGAACGAGCUUGCGUGAUGAAAGUUACGCAUAAUCAGCAGUCGGCGUCUUAAGGGAUAGUCUCUUGUAACUGUGGGACUCCAACUAGGAAUGUCUCGUAAGCACAAGUCAACAUCUUGUGUUGAUUACGUCCCUGCUCUUUGUACACACCGCCCGUCGCUCCUACCGAUCGAGUGUUUAGGUGAAUUUGAAUGGACGUAAGGGAAAGUCAAAUAAACCCUGAGCUCUAGAGGAAGGAGAAGUCUAACCUGA